rnacentral:rRNA from 1 species
AUUGAACGCUGGCGGCAGGCCUAACACAUGCAAGUCGAACGGUAGCACAGAGAGCUUGCUCUUGGGUGACGAGUGGCGGACGGGUGAGUAAUGUCUGGGAAACUGCCCGAUGGAGGGGGAUAACUACUGGAAACGGUAGCUAAUACCGCAUAACGUCUUCGGACCAAAGUGGGGGACCUUCGGGCCUCACACCAUCGGAUGUGCCCAGAUGGGAUUAGCUAGUAGGUGGGGUAAAGGCUCACCUAGGCGACGAUCCCUAGCUGGUCUGAGAGGAGGACCAGCCACACUGGAACUGAGACACGGUCCAGACUCCUACGGGAGGCAGCAGUGGGGAAUAUUGCACAAUGGGCGCAAGCCUGAUGCAGCCAUGCCGCGUGUAUGAAGAAGGCCUUCGGGUUGUAAAGUACUUUCAGCGGGGAGGAAGGCGUUAAGGUUAAUAACCUUGGCGAUUGACGUUACCCGCAGAAGAAGCACCGGCUAACUCCGUGCCAGCCGCCGCAGUAA